UACGUAGGUGGCAAGCGUUGUCCGGAAUUAUUGGGCGUAAAGCGCGCGCAGGCGGUCCUUUAAGUCUGAUGUGAAAGCCCACGGCUCAACCGUGGAGGGUCAUUGGAAACUGGAGGACUUGAGUACAGAAGAGGAAAGCGGAAUUCCACGUGUAGCGGUGAAAUGCGUAGAGAUGUGGAGGAACACCAGUGGCGAAGGCGGCUUUCUGGUCUGAAACUGACGCUGAGGCGCGAAAGCGUGGGGAGCAAACAGG
rnacentral:rRNA from 1 species